rnacentral:rRNA from 1 species
ACGGGUGAGUAACGCGUGGGAAUCUACCGUACCUUACGGAAUAGCUCCGGGAAACUGGAAGUAAUACCGUAUACGCCCGAAAGGGGAAAGAUUUAUCGGGGUAUGAUGAGCCCGCGUUGGAUUAGCUAGUUGGUGGGGUAAAGGCCUACCAAGGCGACGAUCCAUAGCUGGUCUGAGAGGAUGAUCAGCCACAUUGGGACUGAGACACGGCCCAAACUCCUACGGGAGGCAGCAGUGGGGAAUAUUGGACAAUGGGGGCAACCCUGAUCCAGCCAUGCCGCGUGAGUGAUGAAGGUCUUAGGAUUGUAAAGCUCUUUCACCGAUGAAGAUAAUGACGGUAGUCGGAGAAGAAGCCCCGGCAAACUUCGUGCCAGCAGCCGCGGUAAUACGAAGGGGGCUAGCGUUGUUCGGAAUUACUGGGCGUAAAGCGCACGUAGGCGGAUAAUUAAGUCAGGGGUGAAAUCCCGCAGCUCAACUGCGGAACUGCCUUUGAUACUGGUUAUCUUGAGUAUGGAAGAGGUAAGUGGAAUUGCGAGUGUAGAGGUGAAAUUCGUAGA